rnacentral:rRNA from 1 species
GACGAACGCUGGCGGCGUGCUUAACACAUGCAAGUCGAGCGGUAAGGCCCUUUCGGGGGUACACGAGCGGCGAACGGGUGAGUAACACGUGGGUGACCUGCCCUCGGCUCUGGGAUAAGCCUGGGAAACCGGGUCUAAUACCGGAUAUGACUCCAUGACGCAUGUUGUGGGGUGGAAAGCCUUGUGCGGCUGAGGAUGGGCCCGCGGCCUAUCAGCUUGUUGGUGGGGUGAUGGCCACCAAGGCGACGACGGGUAGCCGGCCUGAGAGGGCGACCGGCCACACUGGGACUGAGACACGGCCCAGGACUCCUACGGGAGGCAGCAGUGGGGAAUCUUGCGCAAUGGGCGAAAGCCUGACGCAGCGACGCCGCGUGAGGGAUGACGGCCUGG